AGAGGGUUCACACAUGUACUCAUGAAUGUCUGCAACUGUUACGUGUCUCCACCAUCCUGCAGGAUCACAGUGCUAUCUACUGACAGGUCUUCGCUCAUAGCUGUCUCCACCACCAUGCAGAUGCCCUCAAGAUGACAAAGCAGUUGAUGUUCUGCUGUGAAGUGAGAAGGAAUUGUCUCACUCCAUACCCUCAUUCAUGUGCAAAACUUACUUAGGAUCAUAUAUAUCACAAUGAUAUAUCACAUUGAUUUGCGAAUAUUGAACCAGGUCUGCAACCCAGGACUGAAUCCCAGCUGAUCAUGAUAUCUUCAAGCUCAUCAUGCUUGGAUCAUGUCCCAGUACUUCUUGGCUCCAGCACAGAGAAGAAAGGACUUCUGAUGGGUUACUCCCCAACUUCCACACAGCGAAGGCAGUCAGAACGCUCACAGCCUAGCAAAGUGCUGAUGAACAAAGAGCACAUGAAUGAAGAGCACUAAAUAUUUAUGAGUGAAUAAAUAAGUGAAUGUUAACAACCAGAGUUUGAAUCUCCUCCCAGGAAGAUUUUCAAUCUAUAUCCAACAGGCUACUGGAAGGCUUAGUCAAUCCACUUUCCAGAUAUCCUGACUGGUCAAAAUUCCACUUAGAUUCACACCACCUUUCGUUUAACUUCACUGUACCUCACAAAUAAGUCUAAACUAUGUAUUGGUAUUCUUAUUUUAUAGAUGAAGAAAACUAAUGUUCAGAAGUUUCAGGAUCUGCCUCCCCCAGAUCACUUUUAUCAACCCCCUGUGUCCAUCCUCCAGCUGCUCUAGGCAUUGCCUGCUAUCAACUCUUGGAGAAAUACCUUCUGCCACCAGCUGAAUAGGAGCCAUCUCAACACAAACACAGCCACUGAUUAGUGCUGGGCUCCUAAGAGCUGAGAGCCUGGUGUCAAUAUGGAACUAACUCUGUGGUGCGGUGAAUGUGCCAGAGUUCUCACAGGAUCAGGCUGCAGUGCAUCUCCAGCAGGCACGACAUCAUUGUGCAGCCUUCCUUCUGCUCUGCCCUUCUUCCCUCGCUCCCUUUCUUUUGGAGAGUGACAGCUGGAGGGGUGGAGAAUCUGGAGUGUGUGGUAAUGAAGGGAAACAAUAAGCAUCAAUUACAGACUUGGGACCAAUUGCAACAGUGGGAAGCUACAUUUGAUCCACUGAUCCUUCUCCUCUUAGUUUUCUCAUAAAUUGUAAAUACCUGUUGAGAAGGAAAUAGAGCUAAGUGGUACAAGGGGUGGACUGUAGUAGAUGCUGUUGUUGUCCAGAUAUCCUUAACUGGGUCAAUGCACUAAUCCCAAGGCUGCUGGGAAUUUUGAGUUCUAAAGGCCCACAGCUGCCUCCUUUUCUAAAGAAUUGACCUUGGCCAAGCAGAAGUCCCUUGUCUGGGAAGUUAUCUCCCCUGGGAUGGGUAACCCAUUCUAAUAAUCGACUGACAUGGAAAUGCUUUGAAGUGAGAUGAGCAGUCUGAGCUCCAUCACUGCCUGAGGGAUCAGCCAAAGCUGCACUUAUUCCUCAGGCUUUACUUUACCUCUUCCUGCUCUUCUCCUGAGACUACUCCCUCAACAGAUUACUUCCCCAAGAAUCCCCAGCUUAGGCUGUGCUUCUAAGGGAC